CCUACGGGAGGCAGCAGUGAGGAAUAUUGGUCAAUGGACGGAAGUCUGAACCAGCCAUGCCGCGUGCAGGAAGACGGCUCUAUGUGUUGUAAACUGCUUUUGUCCAAGGGUAAACCUGAAUCCGUGUCUUCAGCUGCAAGUACUGUACGAAUAAGGAUCGGCUAACUCCGUGCCAGCAGCCGCGGUAAUACGGAAUGUCCGGGCGUUAUCCGGAUUUAUUGGGUUUAAAGGGGGCGUAGGCCGGUCUUUAAGCGUGCCGGGAAAUUGUGUGGCUCAACCAUGAGAGUGCGGCGGGAACUGGAGGCAUUGAGUGCGCGGAAGGCAGGCGGAAUUCGUGGUGUAGCGGUGAAAUGCUUAGAUAUCACGAAGAACCCCGAUUGCGAAGGCAGCCUGCCGCAGCGUUACUGACGCUGAGGCUCGAAAGCGCGGGUAUCGAACAGGAUUAGAUACCCCGGUAGUC
rnacentral:rRNA from 1 species